rnacentral:rRNA from 1 species
AUGGAUCUUCUCCAGUUUGUGCUCAACUUUAAAGGCACACCACCAUGGCUGAACUCGAUGGCCAUUACCGCCCUUACGGACCGUUGGAGGCCGGAGACGCACUCUUUUCACCUUGCUCUUGGUGAGAUGACCGUCACUUUGGAGGAUAUUGCGAUGAUCUCCAGUCUUCCGAUCGAGGGCAGGGCUCUUACCGAGAAGGUGAAGUCUGAGGGGUGGUGA